rnacentral:rRNA from 1 species
AUUGAACGCUGGCGGCAAGCCUAACACAUGCAAGUCGAACGAGUUGCGGACGGUUGAGUAAUGUCUGGGCAACUGCCUGAUUGUGGGGGGUAACUCCUGGACCCGGUAGCUCAUCCCGCAUACCAUCCGCUGUUCCCAGAUGGGAUUAGCGAGUGGGGGGGGUAAAGGCUCACCUAGGCGACGAUCCCUAGCUGGUCUGAGAGGAUGACAAGCAACACGGGAGUGGAGACACGGGCCAGACUCCGACGGGAGGCAGCAGGGGGGAAUAUUGCACAGUGGGCGGAAGCCUGAUGCAGCCAUGCCGCGUGGAUGAAGAAGGCCUUCGGGGUGUAAAGUACGUUCAGCGGGGAGGCGUUACCCGCAGAAGAAGGACCGGCUAACUCCGUGCCAGCCGCCGCGGUAAUAC